GGCCUGUUAGCUCAGAUGGUUAGAGCGUGGUGCUAAUAACGCCAAGGUCGCGGGUUCGAUCCCCGUGCGGGCCA
rnacentral:tRNA from 1 species